GUGAGGAAUAUUGGUCAAUGGGCGAGAGCCUGAACCAGCCAAGUCGCGUGAAGGAUGAAGGUUUUAUGAAUUGUAAACUUCUUUUGCAGGGGAAUAAAGUACGGUACGUGUACCGUUUUGUAUGUACUCUGCGAAUAAGGAUCGGCUAACUCCGUGCCAGCAGCCGCGGUAAUACGGAGGAUCCAAGCGUUAUCCGGAUUUAUUGGGUUUAAAGGGUGCGCAGGCGGGUUGAUAAGUCAGCGGUGAAAGUUUGCAGCUUAACUGUAAAAUUGCCGUUGAAACUGUCGAUCUUGAGUGCAAAUGAGGUAAGCGGAAUGUGUUGUGUAGCGGUGAAAUGCUUAGAUAUAACACAGAACACCGAUUGCGAAGGCAGCUUACUGGGAUGCAACUGACGCUCAUGCACGAAAGCGUGGGGAUCAAACAGGAUUAGAAACCCCGGUAGUCC
rnacentral:rRNA from 1 species